CCAAUAGCGUAUAUUAAAGUUGCUGCAGUUAAAAAGCUCGUAGUUGAAUUUCGGGAUCAGUAUGUUGGUCGUGCCUUGGUACGUACUAGUUUAUUGAUCUCUCCCUUCUGACGAACCAUGAUGUCAUUUAUUUGGUGUCGUGGGGAAUCAGGACUGUUACUUUGAAAAAAUUAGAGUGUUUAAAGCAGGCUCACGCUUGAAUACAUUAGCAUGGAAUAAUGAAAUAGGACGUUUGAUUCUAUUUUGUUGGUUUCUAGGAUCGACGUAAUGAUUAAUAGGGAUAGUUGGGGGCAUUAGUAUUCAAUUGUCAGAUGUGAAAUUCUUGGAUUUAUUGAAGACUAACUACUGCGAAAGCAUUUGCCAAGGAUGUUUUCAUUAAUCAAGAACGAAAGUUAGGGGAUCGAAGACGAUCAGAUACCGUCAUAGUCUUAACCAUAAACUAUGCCGACUAGGGAUCGGAUGAUGUUAAUUUUUUAAUGACUCAUUCGGCGCCUUACG
rnacentral:rRNA from 1 species